UUUCUGAUGAAAAGGCAUGUGACCUGUCGUUGUUGCCGUGGCAGCGCGGCGAUACGGCAGCGACUUGCUCAGUCUUGCUGAGCUUGUUUCAACCUGCGCGGCCUUUUAAGCAACACAGAGAAGACGGAGUUGCUGUGUAUAGUAGCUUGAAAGUUGCUGGCAGAAGAAGUUUGGUGGCAGGGUGUGUCGUCCCUGACACAAGCUGAUAGGAGUUCAGACAUCGACGGAACACAUCCCCAAAUCACCCUUUGUCCUCUCCCAAAGGCCCAUUAACGCCGGGCCUAAAUCCACAUUGGGGGAAGCAUGAUACAACAUCUAAUCAGAUCGCCUCAGAGGGGGCGGAUGCUGAGGAGAGGAGAUCCGAUUGGCCCGGGUGGUCCCGCAGGAGACGAAGGCGGCGCGCCAAUGAGAGCUCGCCGGCGCUCGUGCAUCACGCUCAAGUCAUGUGGCGCGUAGGAGGAUUAAAAGAAGCGGCUUAAUCGCACCAGCCCCGGAGCGCACAACAAAAAGUCAGACGCGCAUCACUAUGUGCGAAGAAAGGCUAGCAGCGUUAGCACAUUUACCAACGUGACCUUUUAUUCGGUCCAAAAUGUGUCAAAAUGUAUGCUUGGAUCAUAUUUUAUUAAAAUGUUUUUG